CUUCUAUCUCAAGGCCAUCAGACUGUUAAACAGCAAUCACUAACAUUGAGUGGCUGCUGCCAACACACUGUCAUUGACACUGACCCAACUCCAGCCACUUUAAUAAUGGGAAUUGAUGGGAAAUGAUGUAAAUAUAUCACUAGCCACUUUAAACAAUGCUACCUUAUAUAAUGUUACUUACCCUACAUUAUUCAUCUCAUAUGCAUAUGUAUAUACUGUACUCUAGAUCAUCGACUGCAUUCUUAUGUCACUAGCCACUUUAACUAUGCCACUUUGUUUACUUUGUCUACAUACUCAUCUCAUAUGUAUAUACUGUACUCGAUACCAUCUACUGUAUGCUGCUCUGUACCAUCACUCAUUCAUAUAUCCUUAUGUACAUAUUCCUUAUCCCCUUACACUGUGUAUAAGACAGUAGUUUUGGAAUUGUUAGUUAGAUUACUUGUUGGUUAUCACUGCAUUGUCGGAACUAGAAGCACAAGCAUUUCGCUACACUCGCAUUAACAUCUGCUAACCAUGUGUUUGUGACAAAUAAAAUUUGAUUGAUUUGAUUUGAGGUGGCCUUCCCUGCACCAACUGUGGUCGGAGAGGGCACACGUCUGAUCGGUGCUGGGGGGGUCCGUCUGGGAGUAGAGAUGGCAGGCGGAACGCUUCUCGGUCACCCCAGUGUGUGUUGGGGUACCAGCCGGUCCUGGCACCAUGGCAUCCGAGCCAGACCGAGGCUCCUGCGGUGGAGGAAUGGGUACAGCGCUCCAAGGAGACCUGGAGGGCCGUCCAGGAAUCUCUACGACAAGCGAGUGGACGGCUGAAGAGGAGUGCUGACCGCCACCGCAGUGAGGCCCCCGUGUUUGUACCGGGGGACAGGGUCUGGCUCUCGACCCGAAACCUACCUCUCCGCUUGCCCUGCCGGAAGCUGGGUCCGCAGUGUGUAGGGCCCUUUAAAGUCCUGAGGAGAAUAAACGAGGUGUGUUAUCGAUUACAACUCCCUUCCUAUUAUCGUAUUAACCCCUCGUUUCAUGUGUCUCUCCUCAGGCCGGUGGUAGCUGGUCCCCUGCAGGACAGUGAGGUACCGGAGGUCCCUCCCCCCCUCUGGACAUCGAGGGGACCCCGGCGUACACGAUCCGGGCCAUUCUGGACUCAAGACGCCGGGUGAGGGGCCUGCAGUACCUCGUGGACUGGGAGGGGUACGGUCCGGAGGAGAGGUGCUGGGUACCGGUGAGGGACAUCUUGGAUCCAUCCAUGUUGAGGGAUUUCCAUCGCCUCCAUCCGGAUCGCCCUGCACCUCGUCCUCCGGGGCGACCUCGAGGCCGGUGUCGGCGCGCUGCGGGAGCCACGCGUCAGAGGGGGGGUACUGUCACGAGUCCGACCGAGGGUGUUUCCCCUUCCCGGGCGGGUGGCGCUCGGCGGUCGUCAUCACCGGCCUAUUAGCUGCCACUGAUUGUUUUUUCCUCCCCCUCCUUGUAUGUUUAGUGGUAGCACCUGUUCAUGUUUAAUUAGUUUGUCUUUAUUAGACAGCCGGUCCGCCUGGUUGUUGUGCGGGAUUAUUUCUUUGUAAACCUUCGGCUCUGUUGUAGAGGUACGUGCUUAGUGCCUAGUCGUGAUUUUUUCCAUUUGUACUUUUUCCCCUGUGUUUGGGAACGUUACUUUUGUGAGCAACCUGUGGUGCGUUGGUGCUAGUAAAAGACGCACAGCAUUGAA